GGCGAACGGGUGAGGAAUACAUGGGUAACCUACCCUCGAGUGGGGAAUAACUAGCCGAAAGGUUAGCUAAUACCGCAUACGAUUCCCGGAUUGCGGUUCGGGAAAGAAAGCUAUCCCGUGGGGAUGGCGCUCCUGGAUGGGCUCAUGUCCUAUCAGCUGGUUGGUGAGGUAACGGCUCACCAAGGCUUCGGCGGGUAGCUGGUCUGAGAGGACGAUCAGCCACACUGGCACUGCGACACGGGCCAGACUCCUACGGGAGGCAGCAGUAAGGAAUAUUGCGCAAUGGGCGACAGCCUGACGCAGCGACGCCGCGUGGGGGAUGAAGGUCCUCGGAUUGUAAACCCCUUUCGGGAGGGAAGAGGGAAUGGGGCAACCCAUUCGGACGGUACCUCCAGAAGCAGCCACGGCUAACUUCGUGCCAGCAGCCGCGG
rnacentral:rRNA from 1 species